rnacentral:rRNA from 1 species
UGGGGAAUAUUGCACAAUGGGCGCAAGCCUGAUGCAGCCAUGCCGCGUGUAUGAAGAAGGCCUUCGGGUUGUAAAGUACUUUCAGCGGGGAGGAAGGCGAUAAGGUUAAUAACCUUGUCGAUUGACGUUACCCGCAGAAGAAGCACCGGCUAACUCCGUGCCAGCAGCCGCGGUAAUACGGAGGGUGAAAGCGUUAAUCGGAAUUACUGGGCGUAAAGCGCACGCAGGCGGUCUGUCAAGUCGGAUGUGAAAUCCACGGGCUCAACCUGGGAACUGCAUUCGAAACUGGCAGGCUAGAGUCUUGUAGAGGGGGGUAGAAUUCCAGGUGUAGCGGUGAAAUGCGUAGAGAUCUGGAGGAAUACCGGUGGCGAAGGCGGCCCCCUGGACAAAGACUGACGCUCAGGUGCGAAAGCGUGGGGAGCAAACA